UUUUAUUUUACUUUUUUGAGACAGAGUCUCACUCUGUCCCUCAGGCUAGAGUAUUGUGAUGCAACUGUGGCUUACUGUGGCCCCAAACUCCUGGGCUUGAGUAAUCCUCCUGUCUCAGCCUCCCAAGUGUAGCUGGGACUACAGGCACACGCCAUCAUGCCCAGCUAAUUUUUUCUUUUUUAAUGUAGAGAUAAGAGUCUCACUAUGUUGCCGAGGUUGAUCUCAAACUCCUGGUCUCAAGAGAUCCUCCCACCUCAGCCUCCCAGAGUCAGAACCCAGAUCCUGGACCUCUUCUUUUCUUCAUCUAUACCACUGCUUCCUUGCUCCUGGCCACCUAGGUAGAGACAUUUCCCAGCAGCCCUCAAAGUUUGCUGGGCCUUAUGACCACAAUCUUACCAGUUAAGUGACAAUGAGUGGGAUGUAUACAAUGUUUAACUCUUUUGAUUAAAAGAAAAUUGCUUGCUUUGGACAUCUCCAUAGUGCGGCAACAACAUAGCUUCAACCCUAUGAUAAAGACAAAGCCCCAAGGGAGGAGAGCACAGACGGAAAGAUCUGCCCACACAAGCUACAUUGGUCUGGUUGUUUCACGAGAGAAGUAGACUUCUAUUUUAUUUAAGCCAUUUUAAGUUGGGGUCUCUUUGUUACACCAGCCUAGUCUUUACCCUGACGGUUACAACCCAGGCAUGAGUGUACUGUAUGUGUGUACGGGGGAUCAGGGAGCAUUUCAAUGCUUAACUGAAUUGACUGAUCACAUUCCAGCCAAUGCAGUCAUCUGGUAACUCUAAGAGAUCAAGAUAUAUACAAAUUAGUCUUUGAAAGAUCUUUCACCUUGUUCAAAGAAUCUUCAGUUAUAGUCACCUCAAAAGGUCACGUCUUACCCUGAAAACAAAAGAGAACAUCAAAAUCUGAAUGUCAAGAGAAGUAGCAACCACCUCUGCCAAGGACAGACACAAGGAAAACAACAAAAGAACUCAAUUCUAUUUAAUGGCAAAUGACUUUCAGGGUUAAUAAAAACAAGUCCCAAGAAUCUCUACUUAUCUGGACCAUAUGCCUUUGAGCUCUUCAAGACAACAAAAUCGACUUGGUGGGGAAAAGUCAAGGUGAAACAUUUCAAAUGUUGUGUAUCAACUUUUUCUCAUCUUGUUGUCUAUCAAUUUAUUUUCAUGUAGAAUAAUAUUUGACUCAUAGGCCUCUGUUUUUGGAAACCAGACUGCCACUUGAACGUGUCUCUGUUUGGUUAAUAUCCACAACAUCUCUUAUUUCAUUAAAGCAGAGACUUAUUUUUUUCCCCUCCAAUACAUGCACUGUAAACUAAUUUAUAUGUUUAUCUAUUGAGCUGUGUCUAUUUUUGCAUGUUUGGCAGUCAGACCUAUAGUAUUAGACUUUGCAAUGCAGAUGAGAUUUGCUAUCAUAUAGGCCUGGCAAACAACUGGACCUCAUUAAAAUUUAAUUUUUUUAAAAAACUGCUGAAAAUGCCUACUUCGAAUAAAGUUAUCUCCAGUGCUGCAUUUGAACCUGCGGAACAUUUUCAGUAAGAUCCUGUGAACACCAGAAUUGUUCCGUGGCCUCUUCACUAUUGAUUGCAACAGUAUCAUUUACCUGAAGCUACACAGUGACCACAAAAACCAUGUCCAGGACACCAAAUUUCUACUGCGAACUCUAGGCCUCACGAGCCUUUCUCUGCGAGUCCAAAAUUCAGCCACAUUUCCUAAGAGGCACCUGUACUUGUCUAUUUCAAUGCAGCCAGAAGCUGACAACGGCCCAGGAACCAGGACUGCUUUCAGGAGGCGCUCAGAAGGGCAGCAAAGUACCCUCUCAACAUUAGUAAAAUGAAACAAAAGUGUCAGCCUUGGCUUCGCACACACUUACCCGUUCAUGGACUGCAGGUUCCAACUAAAACUGGAAAUCUGCGCACAACAGGAGAAUAAACUGUCGCCCAAGGAUCCUACACAUUUGCUCUUCUCUGAUUUGAGGAAAGGAAAAAAAAAAUAAACUGGAACUGUAAAAAGGACAUUAAAUUAUUCUGAAGCAUUCUACCACAAUGUGUGUGUGUGUGUGUGUGUGUGUGU
rnacentral:lncRNA from 1 species